AUGAUCGUCUUAUGGAUGACAUUGUUUGUUCUUCGGCAAGGAUAUUCUCUGGUUCCAGUGAAAACAGUUCAACUUGGUGAACCAGUGACCUUAACAUGUGCUUUGCCCAAAGGGCUCCAGAGUGGAGAAGUCCACUGGUACAAGCAGAAUCACGGGGAUACCCUAAAGUUAAUUAUGACAUCGUUUAAAUCUACACCAGCGCAAUAUGGUCCUGCAUUUUCUAGAUCAAGAUUUGAGGAACAUAAUGAUAACAAUUUCAGCAAUGUGACUAUUUUGAAGACCGUCCAAGAGGACGAGGGAAUCUAUCACUGUGGGCUCACAGAGUGGAUUAGGACUAACUGGAGUGGCACAUAUUUGUUUGUAAAAGGAAACAAUCAGAAAGCAUCAGUAGUUGUUCAACAGCUGACAGGAUCAAAUCCAAUCCAUCCAGGAGACACAGUGACUUUCCAGUGUUCAGUCUCUCACUCUGUCAACAAGAAGUGUCCAGGAGGGUGGCAACCAGAGGAGGACCUGCCACUGCAGCAGAUUGUGUGA